AGGGAGGCCCAGCCCAGAAAGCAGUGGGGUUUGGGAAAAAGCAGGAAAAGGGUGCAACUGUAGAGGGCUAUCAGCAAAAAGCAACUAUUUUGUCAAGCAAAGUGUGACUUUGAUUGCUUGCUACCUCUCUGCAAGACUUUUACAAACAUUUUAAAUGUUCCUCUCUAGUGAACGUCAGCAUCGAAGUGCACUAGGACAUUACAGUAGGUGACUUCGUUUGUGACCUUACCGGGCUUAAAAAGAUGACCCGAUGGGACAGUAGUGGAGAGGGUAGUAAGUUUUAAGUUCCUCGGGGUACACAUCACAGACAAACUGAAUUGGUCCACCCACACAGAAAGCGUGGUGAAGAAGGCGCAGCAGCGCCUCUUCAACCUCAGGAGACUGAAGAAAUUCGGCUUGUUACCAAAAGCACUCACAAACUUUUACAGAUGCACAAUCAAGAGCAUCCUGUCGGGCUGGAUCACCGCCUGGUACGGCAACUGCUCCGCCCACAACCGUAAGGCUUUCCAAAGGGUAGUGAGGUCUGCACAACGCAACACCGGGGGCAAACUACCUGCCCUCCAGGACACCUAAACCACCCGAUGUCACAGGAAGGCCAUAAAGAUCAUCAAGGACAACAACCACCCGAGCCACUGCCUGUUCACCCCGCUAUCAUCCAGAAGGCGAGAAAAUGAGGACAACACUUCAGCGAAAACACUCUGGCAAAUCGGCAAUGACAAAGGCCUUCAGCAAACCGAAGGGCCACAGCAGCCCUGCUCUAGCUCACUGUCUCAGUGACGCAUAACGCACACGGCACUCCACAGUCCCAAGGGAUGGCGUCCCAGUCCCAUCACCAAGAGCACGGCUGAUCCAAAGCCUAACGUCCCAGAGUGCAGAGUUUGUGAUGGAGGAGCACAUGCAGCUCAGCACUGGACUGUAGACCCAAGAGAGACACUUUUCAGUGACACACUCAUCAUCACUAAAUCAAAGCACAUCACCAAAUCCAAGAAAGUGGAAUAUCCCAGCAAUCUAACCAUGAAGGUUGUUCUCAUAAAUAUUGGAACUAGUGCAAUGGUCAUGAGCAUCCCUUCAGUAUUAUCCUAAACUCCUUGAGGGAAACAGACUGCCAAGUCUCAGCAGUCACCAACAACAUCCUGACUGUAGAUGGGAGCCUCUAUCUUGAUCACCUUCUCAAAGAUGCUUCCGGCCCAAACUUCAUCCUCAGGCUAAAGGCUGAUGUGGGAGGACUUGGCCGAGCAGGUUGCAGCUCUCGUUCAACAUCUCAUUGAAAACACCCCAGCCAUUUUUGGUGAAGAUGUUGAGUGCAUUUUUACUGAGCCAAAGAAAGAACAAGGAACUGCAGAGGAUGUCAUGGUGGAGUCUUACCAGCAGGUCGACUCGUCUGAUUAUUGGGACUGAGAGAAGCAAGAAGGACUUCACUCUCCUAACAGGGAACCUUUUUCCUGCCAUUGGAGAAACUGGUCUUGAAAGAGAUUUUGGGGCUUCUGAAUGAGGUUGACUCCUUGAAAAAGCAACAUGUGACUGAGGACAGUGCUUAUAGCUGUGGGAAUCUAGACUUAAUGUCUUCCCUCUCCAGUAGGUCUAUCUGCUCCCUGAUGGGGACACAACGUUUUUGCUCAGCUCGCUGCUCCUCGCUGCUCCCAUUGUGUGUCUAAGCUCCCCCCGGUUAGGGUCCCACAGCCAGCUCUACACUCUUGUCGCCCGCCAGUCCAGCUGCGAUGCAGCAGUGAUGUGUGGCCGUGCAGACCACUCCCAACACACACACACAAAUCCCACACUUAAGGGGCUACUAAAGUGGGACAGCAGCCCCAGGGUAGGUGGCAGCAAGUCUAGGUAUGCCUUCUGGAGGUCCCCUCAUGUAGCCUCGAGGUUCUGGCACCUUUCCCAGAGGCUGGCCGUGUCCAACAGGUCCAGUUUCUCCAGCCUGUCCUCCACAGGCACCUCUCCAUCUACCUCCUCUCUGAGCUCCAAAGACAGCGCCUUCUCCUUCUGCACCGACUCUGUGUCCUCUCCCAACGAGCCCAACUCCCUCCCCUUCCUGUUCGGCAUGUCGGCACGGUUAUGCCCUCUCACUCCAGACACCACAAAGAAAUUCCCAAAAGAUUGGAGUAUGACAUUCCCAGUGGCAGUUGCUCAGGCACCCAAGGAUUUGGACGGGUAUAAUUGGUCUGAUGAGAGAAAGGGAGACUAGAAGCAUUGCCAUUCUAUUAGCAUUCAGAAUAGAGAAGACCACCAGAUGCUCACCCAAAGCCUCUGUAGUUUAAAAGGUGAGUAUAUUUAAAGCCCUGUCUCUCAACCAGACAGUGAAAGGAUUCUCUCUGAUUGGAGAGGGGAGCAGGUGCACCAGAGCCAGAAGGAUAAAGUGUUCAAGUUGUCAGAGUCAAAAGGACAGACCAAAGAAACAUCCAUUGCACACAUACAGCUGACAAAUAAAAAAAACUGUCUGUCAAGAAGGAAGGGGACGAAAGGGGACGAAAAUUACAUUUUACACCUCCUCUAACAGAAUGCUGGUGAAAAAACAGUCUGAUCAAUCUGUGGAACAGUGUGGAGUCGCUCUGGUAUCUGACACAGGGAGACCACAUCAGGAAAAUGGGGAACUGCUGGCCCAAAGUGUGCAGCUCCACAUACCCCAGACAGUGUCCUAUGGUCAAAACACUCCACUGGUCCUGCAGUCUGUCAACCAGACAAUUUGCAAAUAACAAGAAAGGAUCAAAGGCCAAAACAGAUAUUCACCUUGGUGAAGUGGUCCCUGAACAGUUGGGUGGUGGGUGCACUCCUCUCUCCCACACAUCAUCUAAAACUCAUGCCAAAACUGCAAGCACAAUCAGCCACAAGACUGCAAGCACAAUCAGCCACAAGACUGCAAGCACAAUCAGCCACAAAACCGCAUGUGCAAUCAGCCACACUAUUAGAAUAAAACUGCAAGCAACUGUCAGAAAUACUGUGAGAGAAUACUUCAACUCAAGUGACAGCCAGAAUGGCCACUUAGAUGCAAAACGGAACGAAAAAGAGCUCCUCCAGUGGCAAAAUAAAAUGUUGGAACCAACAGAAAAUGCCACAAUGCGAUCACAUGGUGAGGAGUUGCCUGAUUGUUAAUGCUCAUCAUUUGGUGUUUUGUAAUGGGCUGUCAGAAUGUAGAUCAUCCUGGGUUAUUUCACCCUCCUCUGUGUGUGUAUUUUUUGCUAAAUUAUAAAUUAAGUCAAUGAAGGAUCCCACUGGGCAUAGACAUCAGUUCAAAGUCUAAUUUUGAUUAACUUUAAGUUGAGUUGUCAUCUAAGGUGAAUUCAACAUGAAAUCAAGAAAACAUUUCACCAUGUCAUUGGAUUUAGGUUCAAAAUUAGGUUCGAAAUUAGGUUCGAAAUUAUCUUAUAUUGAUGACUUUUUGCAAAUCCAAUCAGUUUUUACACAUGGAUUCAACAUCAUCACAUUUCAUUUUUUGGUUGAAAUUAUGUGGAAACAACAUUGAUUCAACCAGUUUUUGCCCAGUUGGAUGGUGCAGAUUGAAUGCAGGCACUCAAACCACUCAGACAGAGCAUUUCCUCCAAUGGAGUAGGGAUUCAUAACCUUAAUCAUUUUCUAUACAGAAGCAUUAUGAAUAAGGACCAGACAUCUUGACAUCACUGUGAUGUAUGUGUUUCCUAAUGGGGCUGUGAUAAUCUGUCGGUGAAAAAGUAAAAACAACCAAAUUUGAGGCAAAUUAGGUAUAAGAUGCACAACUUGUAUAUGGGCAAACACAUCUUAUAUUCAGUAGUUCUUCUCGGGUGUAUGUAAAGAAACCUAAGAUGACCUGGGGUACUAGUGUAAGAAAUAACACGUAAAAAAACAAAAAACUGCAUAGUUUCCUAGGAACGCGAAGCGAGGCGGCCAUCUCUGUCGGCGCCGGAAGCGAGAUUGUAUGGUGUGCAACACAUAUUCCUGCUGUAUAGUUAACAUCUGGUUAAUAAGUAAUCACCUACUUCUCACUUUUAUUGCUAAAGAAAAAUGACCAACGUAAAUCACAUUGCAUAUAGUGAGUUAAAAUGUUUGUUUUGUUUUUGCACAGUUCAGUGCUAUUUUGCAUUUGCAAAAUGAAGCCUCAUGUAUAGAUCUCAUUUAGACGCAUUGAUAUAACGGUCUUAAACACAUAAUAACAUAUACUGUACCACUUUUACCACAUCAUUGUUUGUUUUUAUGUAUGUUUUAUCCUAGAACUGUAACUUUGAACAAUAAUCAUAUGUAGCGUUAACCUUGAUAUCAACGUGUGUGUGUGUGUGUGUGUGUGUGUGUGUGUGUGGGGGGAUUUGCACCUCUUCACCCCUGUACGAGCUUAUGUUGAUGGCACCACUGAUAAUAAAUCAAGUUAGCCCUAAACAUCUCUGAAUCUCUGAGUAUGUUUUCCCAUGCCUUCUCAGUCCCAGGGUCCUAGGCAUAAUGUUUCCUUUUAUUUCUUUAUUGAGUUUAUUUAUUGAGUUUAUUUGAGCAAGGACAAUGUACAUCAGAAGCAUUAGUCUCAGUACACUUGAGAAAAUAUGUGUUGUAUCAGAUUUAGCUAGCAGCUCAUUUCCGUCUGCAGUUCCAGGGCAGGUUAAAAUCAAAACAAGAAAACAUUAUGAAGCCAGCAGGCUGGAUGCCUUGUUACAGAGCUACAAACAAUGAUUUGUAACACUUAACUUACUAUUUCUAAUUACAGAAAUGACUUCUAAAGGCAUGCUACUUUAGGCAAUGGCCCGCUGCUGGCAGUAUUUUCUUUUUAAUGCUAUGUACCGUUAACAUGUAAUUGCUACAACUGAUUCUACAACCGAACCUACUUCAAGCUAGUUGAUUGAUAGGGCAAAGGGUAGUGAUAUGUUCCUGAGUGAUAUGUUCCUGGGGAUGUUUGAUUAUUAUUAGACUUCGUACAAUAGGUGCGAGGGGCAGCAAGUUGCAUGAAGGAUCACUGGCUGCCUUUAGAUCCCACAGCGUCCCUCAACUAUUGGGGCACGUGGACAGUCAUACCAUCCAUCCACUUCUGCACUGUCACAUGGCAACCAAGAUGGGACCUGUCAAUCAGAAGCAGAUUAAAAGGCUCAGACAUAUAGUUUCAGAAGCAGAUUAGGCUCAGACAGAUAGUUUCAGAGCAUUUACAUAGACAACUUCAGAUUUGUUUUAAACUGAAUUACUGAAUUUACUGCAACCUGUUGCUUCUACGUCAGUUCAGCAGUCAGGCCCUGUCUGGAGUAAAUCAAGAAAAUAUGUGUGUGCUUGUUUUGCUGGGGCCUUGAUCAAGUAUGUAAAUCAUAACAUUUCGACAAGCAAACACAUGUAAAUUGUUUAUGUAACCUAGUACCAUCAUCUUUGAAAUGCAAGAGAAAGGCCAUAGUGUAUUAUUCCAGCCCAGGUACAAUUUAGAUUUUAGCCACUAGAUGGUAUAGGUGUAUGUGCAAAGCUUUAAACUGAUCCAAUGAACCAUUUCAUUUCUGAUUAAAAUGUUGUAUCAAGAGUGCCCAAAUGUGCCUAAUUUGUUCAUUAGUAACUUUUCAUGUUCAAAAUUGUGCACUCUCCUCAAGCAAUAGAAUGGUAUUAUGUCAGUGUAAUAGCUACUGUAAAAUGGACAGUGCAGUUAGAUUAACA
ensembl:lncRNA